rnacentral:rRNA from 1 species
UACGGAGGGUGCAAGCGUUAUCCGGAUUCACUGGGUUUAAAGCGUGCGUAGGCGGUUCGCUAAGUCGGUUGUGAAAUCCCUGGGCUUAACCUGGGAACUGCAGUCGAUACUGGCGGACUAGAAUGCGGUAGAGGGUGGCGGAACUCCGGGUGUAGCGGUGAAAUGCGUAGAUAUCCGGAAGAACACCGAUGGCGAAGGCAACCACCUGGGCCUGCAUUGACGCUGAGGUACGAAAGCGUGGGGAGCAAACAGG